rnacentral:rRNA from 1 species
GUGGAUUAGAUACCCUGGUAGUCCACGCUGUAAACGAUGUUCACUAGGUGUUGGGGGUAUUGACCCUCUCAGUGCCGUAGCUAACGCAUUAAGUGAACCGCCUGGGAAGUACGGUCGCAAGACUAAAACUCAAAGGAAUUGACGGGGGCCCGCACAAGCGGUGGAGCAUGUGGUUUAAUUCGAUGCAACGCGAAGAACCUUACCUGGGCUUGACAUCCCAAGAAUCUCCUGGAAACAGGAGAGUGCCCUUCGGGGAGCUUGGAGACAGGUGCUGCACGGUCGUCGUCAACU